UGGGGAAUAUUGGACAAUGGGGGGAACCCUGAUCCAGCCAUGCCGCGUGUGUGAAGAAGGCCUUAUGGUUGUAAAGCACUUUAAGCGAGGAGGAGGGUACUGGUAUUAAUACUACCAGGUACUGGACGUUACUCGCAGAAUAAGCACCGGCUAACUCUGUGCCAGCAGCCGCGGUAAUACAGAGGGUGCGAGCGUUAAUCGGAUUUACUGGGCGUAAAGCGUGCGUAGGCGGCUAAUUGAGUCGGAUGUGAAAUCCCCGAGCUUAACUUGGGAAUUGCAUUCGAUACUGGUUAGCUAGAGUGUGGGAGAGGAUGGUAGAGUUCCAGGUGUAGCGGUGAAAUGCGUAGAGAUCUGGAGGAGUACCGAUGGCGAAGGCAGCCAUCUGGCCUAACACUGACGCUGAGGUACGAAAGCAUGGGGAGCAAACAGG
rnacentral:rRNA from 1 species